UUUAAACAAUAUAACCAUCAGAGACUAUACAGUCUCUCUUGAUACUUCCAAGAAUAAGAGAAUCGAAAAAAUUGCAAUGCGUUUCUUGAAAGGUUUUCUCCAAAGUAGCAAUUUUCAUUUACAACCGCAAAGACUAUAAUUUUCUCUGUGUCAGAACAAUCUGAAUAACCGUGUAAAUUUUCUUUUCAGAUCACGCGAGGACCCCACGAUUUCACCAGAACCAAACAGAUAAUCACCAAUCUUAUCGAGACACUUUCUCUUUCAACCAGCCUCUAUCCUUCCUGUGUACACCACCAAAUGUGAGCAUGCUUUUCAAGAACUAAUUAACCGACGAAGAAAGGAGAAAAAAAGAAAGAAGAAAAAGGAACGACGGUUAAAGAGGAGUCGGGCUACGUUGAUAAUCAUCAGCGAUCCCCAGCAAGCAAUCAUCGCACUUGCAAUAAAAAUUGCUGCUCGAUGCUGAAUCACUGGAUAGCAAAGAAUUAGAAUUGCGGUUCAGAUGUUAACGUCACUUAUCUAUGGUUGCAGAGAUUUCUUAAGUUCCUUCAUUUCUGUUGCUUGAAUAUUUUCAAGGUAUACACUUUUUAAUUGUUAAAUGUCUAAUUGUAAGUACACUUAUUAUUUAUGAUUAUAAAUUUCUUUCCAGGUCUCACCUACACGAAUACUGGCAAAAUAACAUUGUCGACGCACAAGAUGAUAGUUCUUAUCCAUUCCUCGCCAAAGAAUAUCACCCAGAUUUGGGAAAGAAAAUGUUGAUUUCAACCCUAAUGUGUUACGAUCGUGUCUGCGGUGGGUAUAAUCGUGACUACCUUUAAUCUGGCCCGUUUCACUUGUUAAUGAUUUCUCCCAGUCGACUCUUGACGCGACCCAAGUUUAUAUGGGCGGUAACUUAAUCAGCGAAUCACUGAUCGCUGAUGGUUAUUCUCAGAAUAAAACCUCCGCCUAUCUUGUUAAACUGGAUGAAGGAUUUUCGCAGCAAGGAGGAACUUUCGCCAAAUAAGUACACCCAAGGGCAAGGACGGCUUUUGUUAGUUAGGGACAAUUCUCCCACCACUUUCUUCCCGUCGAAUAACGAUUUCAGUUGAAGUCAAUCAAACAGGCAAACCUAGUUUAACCAAGGCAAGUGUCAUUCUUGUACCAGAAUAUACUAUUCAGAAAAUUUGCCUUUUCAGUAAAUUAUUACUCGCAAAUUCACGAUCUUUCCAUCGCUAUUAAGCGUAACAGUUUCAUUGUUAUUCUUACAAAUACUUCACUGUUUCAGAAGGUACGAUCACCUCCUAGAUUGGAUCUUUGGUGACACGUAACAAUACCCACACGUCUCAUGGACACGAUUGUUAGCCUUGACGCGGUUGAACUUCACUCCAACACGAGGAUCAAUUUCUGCAGAGUUACGUGUCCCUAUGUUAUUCAACGCUUAGACAAUUUGAACGGUUGAGGAAAGACAAAGAGCGAGCAACCGACAACAAACGUGAUCUCUGCUUUUAUAUAACCAGCUGCCUGGAUCAGGGACUCUAAUCGUGAGAACCUGUAAGUUUGCGUUUUUCACUUUAUCUAUAAACUGGUUAGUACUGUUGGAAUAUUCUUUGGAUUACAAUUGAAACCGUUCGUGCAUUCGAAACUCUUCCAAGUACACGUUCCACAGUGAGGCGUAUAUUCAAUCUUUAAAAGCUUCGACAAUUUACAAGAUAAAUGGGUAAAACCACUUUCGAUCAAACAGAAAUUUCAAGUAGAAACAUAGUACAAUUGCAACGGUAAUUCUAUCGAGUGGUUGAGAAGAAAUAAGAUAUCGAAUCGGCCGCGAUCGAUUACGUUGAAUGCACGGUUGCAUAGCUUUUCCUCCGGUGACCCGAAUUGACUGUUUCCUGUUACCAGUCGUCCGUGUAUUACUAUAAUAGAUCGUCUAUCGCGUGUAUUACAUAUAUGGUAUGCAACACGUGCGCUGCAUAACCGACUAAAACGUGUGCACGAUAGCACAGGUGAUAAUCUUGCUUCUUUGACUCUGUCAACAUCUGCCAACAUCUGCCGCGACUUAGCUUUACAAACGGCACGAACGGCUAUUCUCUAUAGAGAAGAUAUUUGAAAAUUCUAUUCCAAGGUAAUCGUCUUUAAUUUUCGAAUGAUUGGAUAAUUUUAAAUUGGAGUUUCACCACGUUUCAUAUGUUCUCAAAUUAUAAUUAAUAGAAACGAUAAAUUAAAGUGAACGCGUCAGAGUCACGAAUAGCUAAUACUGGCUCGUCGUCGUUAAUACGUAAAGAUAUUUUUAUCCUUUUCUUUUUUAAUAAUGUGCCGUUUAAUUUGUCGUUUCUUCGAGUCAUAAAAUAUGCAAACCGUGAGCUCGGUAAACGGAGAGACACACAGAGACGUCUGAUUCAUUCAACUUCAUCCAGUUACGGUCUAUCUCUGUUCUUUUGAAUGCUCGCGAUCAUGCAGAUCGCCCGACCAGACAGGAAACAAAAGGUGUACGGUUACUCUUAGGGAUCGUCCUCUCUUGCAUAAUGAAGCAGUAGUCGAUUGACGUAACGUAUUUGCGAUUCGUUUCGCUGUAAAUAGCCGGGUAUCUUUAUUUCUCGAUUUCGUUCAUCUUUCAAACAAAUCACUAUGAACGUUCGAUUUUCUGAAACUUCUACGAAUUCACGACUGCUGUGGGCUAACAUACACCGAUGUCCAAAAAUUAAGCAUAAUUGGUAAUUAUGUGCAUUUUACGAAUUAUGAUUAACUUUUCGACACCAGUGUACAUUCAUGCAUACGUAUAUUUUCCAUUCAUACCAUUCUACUGUAUCAUUGAAUAAAACUUUGAAAUUGAUACUAUCAGCGAGUAGUGGAAAAACUACUCAAAGAAGUAAGCGAGAAGUGGAAUGAUAAAAGAAGAUACGAGUCGAAUCAGUUGUUUUAAGAUCUUGAUCGCGAUGACGCUCUAUCGGGAUUACUAUUCCCUUGCGGAAAUGUCAGCAGUGGUCUGGUCUAAUUGUAAGAUAUCCACUUUUUUCGGGUCACCCUACGAAUGUUUCGAAAGCGAAACGUCGCGGUGAGUCGAGUUGAGAAUUUUCAAUGGGGGCCAUACCGUUCUGAAUACUAUUUUUCAGUCAAUCUUUUAUUCAUAACGCGUUUUGACAUACUCUUCUGUCAACUGGCCUACACACGUGUAUCGUGCAACAAGGUGGCACUGUUUUUCUUCAAUCUUUCAUUCUUUUAAAACCAUCAUAUCAUAUCUCGUGCCUUCUAAUCUCCUAGGCUCCCUCUAAGCUUUUCCAAAAUUAAUGGGCCAAUAAUUGAUGGCACCUUCGAGGGAAGCGUUCCUUUGAAUAACGAAUGAUUGAAAUGUAUAAUAAGUCAUUUUGUAUUGACUGGCGGGUAUAGAGGAGGGCCCCUUCACAUAUAUAA